GGCCCAUCCUUUUCCCUCUGCUGCUCUCUCCAGACACAUUUUCUUUCCCCCAAAAGAAAUCUCCUGCUUGACUUCAAAGGCGGCUCUGCAUCCAGAAGAGAUAAUACAGAACCCGGCUUCCUGACAUCACAGAAGCCCUCUGUGCCAGGACAACCAAUUAGGCAUCGAUGCAUUGAGGAGCCUGCAGUUCUAGGACUCAUUGUUUCCAUGUGUCUUCCACGAGCAGGGGCGGUUGCCUUCCAGAGCCACGGAGGCUCCAUGUGUGUCAGACUCUCUGACAGAAUGAUUUGCAGACAUCUCUUUAGGGGUACGUGGCCCAUUUUGUGGAUUUCGUAUUAUCUAAAUCACAUUCUGACUCCUUUUUGCCAUUUGUCACACACCUGAACCCUUUGUGUCCCCCCUUCUAAGCUGUCAUCGUGUGGUUACUUGGCAAUUGCCAACUGGUUUUUCAUAUUAUUCCAAGAAAAACAUCAUUAGGAAGGGUGCGCCUGUGGCCAAAUCCGUUGCUGAAUGGUCUGCAAAGCCAAAUAGAAAUAAAUUGGAGGUAUCUGAGCUGAAGGCCUCUCGG
rnacentral:lncRNA from 1 species